ACUCUAAUAGUUUAUGAAAACAUUGGUC
rnacentral:tRNA from 1 species